rnacentral:misc_RNA from 1 species
AAGGGCCUGUUUGGCACAGCUCCAGCUCCAACUCCACCCCUCCUGGAGCUGGAGCUCAGCCAAACAGUUUCAGCUCCACCAAAACUGGGAGUGGAGUUGGGUGGAGCUCUCUCACAAAAUGUACUAGAGUUGUGGAGCUGGGUUUAGGCAGCUCCACAACUCCACUCCAGACUCAACUCCUGGAGUUAUAUUUAGGAGUUGGAGCUGUACCAAACAAGCCCCAAGUCUGGAGUGGAGUUGUGGAGCUGCCUAAACCCAGCUCCAUAACUCUAGUACAUUUUGUGAGAGAGCUCCACCUAACUCUACUCUCAGUUUUGGUGGGGCCUGACUGUUUGGUUUAGCUCCAGGAGGGGUGGAGCUGGAGCUGGAGCUGUGCCAAACAGGCCCAU